rnacentral:rRNA from 1 species
UACGGGGGGGGCAAGCGUUGUUCGGAAUUACUGGGCGUAAAGCGCGCGUAGGCGGACCUGCAAGUCGGGGGUGAAAGCCCGAGGCUCAACCUCGGAACUGCCUUCGAUACUGCGGGUCUCGAGUCCGGGAGAGGUGAGUGGAAUUCCUAGUGUAGAGGUGAAAUUCGUAGAUAUUAGGAAGAACACCAGUGGCGAAGGCGGCUCACUGGCCCGGUACUGACGCUGAGGCGCGAAAGCGUGGGGAGCAAACAGGG